rnacentral:lncRNA from 1 species
AUCCCGACUAAGUGGCCGUCCUGGGAGUUAUAGUGCCACUAGCCGGCCUCGGCUGUUCCCUGUCCGAGGCUCUUGUCAUUUCCGCUUAUUUCCUCCACGGGUGCCGAUUUCAUGUGUGUGUUCCCGAGUGCCUGAGCCGGCUCCCGAAAUGAGUACUCGUGGUUUCCGCGUGGGAACCAACCUCGAGCGCCAGUGGCCCGCCCUCUCCGGGCUGAGGUGGCUGCUGAGGCUGGGGCUGCUCCUGAGGCUUCAGGGCCGCCCGCUGCACGGCUUUCUACCUUCCCAGGUUAGCCGCGGUCAACUUCUGCCAGGCGGAGCGAGAAAUCGCAUUUUGUCAGGUGAGGAUUGGAGGGAGUGAGAGAGAUGUGAGGGGAAGGCUUCGGGUAGGGGUAUAGGGCCGAUAGGGGACGACCAGGGCCGAGAGCUCAUGGACUUGGACCCGGAAUGCCAUUGCCUUCCCUGUGGGUAUGUCUCAGGGGCUUUCAAUCUCGGAGUCUCCCACUUCGCGGAUCUUUCCCGCCCUCUCAGUAUCUCCUCCUUCCUCACAGUUCCUCCCCUUCCUCUUCUUUUUCUGCUCCCUCCCUUCCCUCUCAUCUCGUCUUCUUCCUUCUCCCUCUCGGCUCCAACGCCUACUGUUUCGGCCCCACCUUCUUAUCUUGGCUCCUCCCCUUCCCCCCCUUAUCGACUCCUUACCCAGUCUCUUUUUGUUCUGCCAGUGCUCUCUCGGCUCCUCCCCCUCCUCCUUUCUCCUGGAUGCUACGCCCUCUCCCAUCUCCUUCUCUUUCCCCUCCCUCUCGGCUCCUCUCCCUACCCCUCCCUCUCUUCUCCUUUACCUUCCUCCUCACUGCUGCUUUUUCUAGUCUCUUCCCCUCUGCUCUUCUGUUUUCCUUUUUACUGCUCCUCCUCCUUCCUCUAAGUCCUUCCCACUUCCCUCCCUAUUGGCUGCUCCUCCACCUCCCUUUUGGCUUCUCUCCUGCCUCAACUAACUCCUCCCCUCCUCCCCAACGCCUUCGGUUCCCUCUCAGCAUCUGUAACCCUUCCCUUCCCUCCACCCUUUCCCUCGUGUUCUUACACAAUCUUCCAUUCUGGACACAUACACUCAUUGUGGUCUUUCUUAAAUACAUCCCCACCAUGCUGUGUUACCCCUCACUCAUAUGGUCUCACACUCUUACCCCCCUAAUUCUUGUUAAUCCACUUGGGUCUCCUGGGUCCUUUCUCUGCAAACAUAGUGUUAUUUACUUCUAGAGAUUUGUGAGAAUAAAAUGAGAUAGUACAUGAAAAGCACUUACGACGGCACCUUGCACAUAGUAAGCUUUCAAUAAAUGGUAACUGUCAUCAUUAUUACUUUUCUUUAGCCAGGGAUUCCUGGCACAAUUCCUCUUCAGCGUGUCCCUCAACCACCAGUAAUUUCUUGGCUCCCUUCCUUAGUAGCCUCGUUGUUUUCAUUGUAAGCUGACUCAAAAGGAAUUUUUCUUGCAAGUAAUCAAUUCAAAAAGUAUUAAUAAAUAAGACUUAUGUUCUGAUCUCUAGUUGCCUAAUCUAGGGUGUAGGGGGGUAUUCUGGUAGAAGGCAUCACAAAUGCACACAAAGUUGAGAAUGGUGCUGGUGCCAUCUGACUAUAGACUUAGCCAACUUUAAGGUUCUAGGAGUUUUUAAAGGCUAGUUCUAGGUGCAGCAUGUUUACUUUUCAAACCUGGAGCUUGCCUUUCCCUGUGAGAAAUAUUGAUAGCAGUGUUUUGAGCAAACCUCUUGCCAAACACAUGUAAGAAAUAGCAUCCUUUUUAUAUUUUUUAUUUGCCUUUUCUCUGACUGUUUAUAUCUACUCCUUGCUCUUUAUUCUUUAUUUCAGCAGGCUCCCUAACAAAGAAACAUGAUUAGUAACAUCUGGAACCUUUCCUUUCCUUUCCCUUUCCCCUUCGGCUUCCCCUCUUCUUUCCUUCCUUCCUCCCUCCCUCCCUCUCUCUCUCUUUUUCUUUCUCUUUCUUUCUCUUCCUUCCUUUCUCUUUCUUUCUUUUCUUUCUUUCUUUUCUUGCUUUCUCUUUCUUUCUCUUUCCUUCCCUUUCCUUCCUUUCUUUUUCCCUCCCUCCCUUCCUCCCUUCCUUUCUUUCCUUCCUUCUUUCUUUUUUUUGAGAUGAAGUCUCACUCUGUCUCCCAGGCUGGAGUGCAGUGGCACGAUUUCGGCUCACUGCAACCUCCACCUCCUGGGUUCAAGUGAUUUUCCUGCCUCAGGCUCCCGAGUAGCUGGGAUUAUAGGCACCCGUCACCACGCCCAGCUAAUUUUUUUUUGUUGUUGUUGUAUUUUUAGUAGAGAUGGGGUUUCACCAUGCUGGCUAGGCUGGUCGAACUCCUGACCUUAGGUAAUCCACCCACCUCGGCCUCCCAAAGUGCUAGGAUUGCAGGUGUGAACCACUGCACCUGGCAACAUAAACUUUCUAUACUGAAUGAGACCUGUUUCCGGUAUUUGGGGUUCACACAUUUAAGUCUGUGAUACAUUUUGGGUUUUUUGUUGUUGGAAGAUGUGAAAGGUUGAGAUUAACUUUUUUUUUUGCCUAUAGAUAUCUAAUUUCUUUAGCAUGGUUUCUUGAAAAGACUAUCUAUCCUUCCUCCGUGAAAUUGCUUUUGCACCUUUUCAAAUUUUUUUUGGCAGAGGCUUGCUCUGUCCCCCAGGCUGGAGUGCAGUGGCACCAUCUUGGCUCACUGCAGCCUCCACCUCCUGAGCUCAAGCGAUUCUUCUGCCUCAGCCUUCUUCUUCUUCUUCUUUUUUUUUUUGAGAUGGAGUCUUGCUCUGUUGCCCACGCUGGAGUGCAGUGGUGUGAUCUCGAGUUCAAGCAAUUCUUCUGCCUCAGUCUCCCAAGUAGCUGGGAUUACAGGCAUCCGCCACCAUGCCCGGCUAAUUUUUUUUUGUAUUUUUAGUAGAGAUGGGGUUCCAUCUCUACUACAUGGUUCCAUCUUUCUACAUGGUUCCAACAUGUUGGCCAGGCUGGUUUCGAACUCCUGACCUCAUGUGAUCCGCCCACCUUGGCCUCCCAAAAUGCUAGGAUUACAGGUGUGAGCCACCUCACCUGGCCCUGCCUCAGCCUUCUGUGUAGCUGGGACCACGCCCAGCUAAUUUUUGUAGUUUUAGUAGAGACGGGGCCAGUCUGGUCUCAAAUUCCUGACCUGAAGUAAUCCACCUGCCUCGGCCUCCCAAAGUGCUGGGAUUACAGGUGUGAGUCACCGAGCCUGGCAACUUUUUCACCUUUGUAAAAAAUCACUUGGGCAUAGUUGUAUGGCUGUAUUUCUGAGUUUUCUGUUGUACUGUUACAUUGGUUUGUGUGUCAGGCAUUAGCUUUUUGAUGAUUAAAUUUGCAUGCAAUACCUUUGUGGAGUGCCAUUGUUCUAACAGGAAAGUGUACCUUAUCAAGAAAUGCUAUCCCUUGGACUGAAGAAACUUGGCAGUGUAGUACAACUCUGCUGCCAAUAAGAUUCUUUUUUGGUUCAUAUUUGUAUUAUUUCAGGACAGUAGGUGCUAAAAUAUGACUCUGUUUUUCAUUGUUUACUCAUGCUCAUUAUUUCCUGAUUCAUAACAUUGGCACAUUUCAUCUGAAGGCUCUGGAAGAAAAUAAUAAUAAUAAUAAUAAUAACACUGGGCCAGGUGCGGUGGCUCAUGCCUGUAAUCCCAGCAUUUUGGGAUGCCGAGGCAGGCGGAUCACCUGAGGCUGGGAGUUCAAGAACAGCCUGACCAACAUGGAGAAACCCUGUCUCUACUAAAAAUACAAAAUUAGCCGGGCAUGGUGGUGCAUGCCUGUAAUCCCAGCUACUCGGGAGGCUGAUGCAGGAGAAUUGCUUGAACCUGGGAGGCGGUGGUUGUAGUGAGCCGAGGUGGUGCCAUUGCACUGCAGUCUGGGCAACAAGAAUGAAACUCCGUCUCAAAAACAAAAAACAAAAAGUAAAAAAACCACUGGCACUUUACCUUGAUAAUCCUCCAUAGCUAGACCUUGUAAAUAAGAAAUUUUGUAUUAAAAGUAUCAAAUAUUUUAUGAUCACAUUCUUUUGGUAACAGUGUUAUUCAGAGAAAAAUCACGUACCAUAUAAUUCACCCACUUAAAGUGUCUAAUUUAGUGUUUUUUAGUAUAUUCACAGAGUUGUACAACCACCACUACCAUCAAUUUUAUUGUCACUUUUAAGUGAAGGAUUGUAUAUCAGGGUAGUUCUUAGGAAGCUAGGGUGGAUUUCAUAUCCCACCUUGUAUGUUAUUGAAGAAGACAAAUUCUUCUCUUCAGUGAUGACAGCAUUGUGUGUGUGUCUAGUUGUAAUCAUUUCAGUUACAAAUGAAAAGUAGAAGAGGAAAAUGUAGAGAAUAAUGGCAUACUGAAGUCUUUGAAGAAGUUUUACCUGUAAGAUAAAUUGCUUAUUUCAUAUCCCACCUUGUAUGUUAUUGAAGAAGACAAAUUGCUUAUUUCAUAUCCCACUUUGUAUGUUACUGAAGAAGACAAAUUCUUCUCUUCAGUGAUGACAGCAUUGUGUGUGUGUCUAGUUGUAAUCAUUUCAGUUAGGAAUGAAAAUGUAGAAGAGGAAAAUGUAGAGAAUAAUGGCAUACUGAAGUCUUUGAAGAAGUUUUACCUGUAAGAUAAAUUGCUUAUUUCAUGACAUUUGAAUUAUAAACUUUAGCCAAAUCUCUUAAUAUUUUCAAUUUUUUUCUUAACAGUUUUAACAAAACAGAAAUGUGUAAAAAUUUGUGUAAAAUCUUACGAUCGAGACCAAAUGGACAAGCUGGCUUUUUUUGAAGAAAGUAAUACGACUGAAUUACUAGCAUCAUUGGUAGGUUUGGCAUCUGAAAUAACAUGACUUGGCUGGGUGAGGUGGCGUGCCACCUCAGCACUUUGGGAGGCCAAGGUGGACAGAUUGCUUGAGCUCAGGAGUUUGAUACCAGCCUGGCCAGCGUGGCGAAAACCCAUCUCUACUAAAAAUACAAAAAUUAGCCGAGCAUGAUGGCAGGCACCUGUAAUCCCAGCUACUUGGGAAGCUGAGGCACAUGAGAAUUGCUUGAACCUGGGAGGCGGAGGUUGCAGUGAGCCGAGAUUGCACCACUGCACUCCAGCCUGGGUGAAAGAGUGAGACGCUGUCUCAGAAAAAAAAAAAAAAAUUAACAUGACUCAAUUAAUUUUUCAAUUCCUUUCAGAAGUUUUUUGUUUGUUUGUUUUGAGACAGGGUAUUGUUCUGUGGCCCAGGCUGGAGCAAAGUGAUGUAAUCAUAGCUCACUGCAUCCUCAAACUCCUGGGCUCAAUUGAUCCUCUUAGCCUCCUGAGUAGCUAGGACUACAGGCAUGUGCCACCAUGCCUGGUUAAGUUUUGAUUUUCUUUUUUGUCUUUUUUUUUUUUUUUUCUUGAGACAGAGUCUAGCUCUGUUGCUCAGGCUGGAGUGCAGUGGCGUGAUCUAGCACACUCGAAAUCUCCACCACCCAGGUUCAAACAAUUCUCCUGCCUCAGCCUCCUGAGUAGCUGGGAUUACAGGCACCCGCCACCACGCCCAGCUAAUUUUUGUAUUUUUAGUAGAGACGGGGUUUCACUGUGUUGCCCAGGCUGGUCUUGAACUCCUGACCUCGUAAUCCGCCCGCCUCAGCCUUCCAAAGUGCUGGGAUUACAAGUGUUAGCCACCGUGCCCAGCCUUUGUUUUUUCUUUUUUGCUGUCACCUUAUUUUUUUUUUAUUAUUUUUAUUUUCUUUUUGUAGAGACAGGGUCUAGCUAUGUUGCCCAGGCUGGUCUUGAACUCCUGGCCUCAAGCAGUGCUUCCACCUUGGACUCCCAAAGUGAGUCACCACACCCUGCCAAAAAAGUAUUCUUUAUUUUUUAUAUUUUAUUUUAUUAUUAUUUUUUGGAUAUAGGGUUUCUCUCUGUCACCCAGGCUAGCGUAAAGUGGCACCAUCUUGGCUCACUGCAACCACCACCUCCCGGGUUCAAGUGAUUCUCGUGCCUCAGCCUUCUGAGUAGCUGGGAUUAUAGGUGUCUGCCACUACACCCGGCUAAUUUUUGUAUUUUUUUUUUUAGUACAGAUGGAGUUUUACCAUGUUGGCCAGGCUGGUCUUGAACUCCUGGUCUCAAGUGAUCCACCCGCCUCGGCCUCCCAAAGUGCUGGGAUUACAGGCGUGAGCCACUGCACCUGGCAGUGUUUCUUAUAUUUCAGUCAUUUCACAUACCACCUUGGUAAUUUUUGCUAUAUGUCAAGCACCUGUAUUAUUAUUUAUCUACUUUAAAAAAAUCCGUUAUUUAAGGCCAGGUGCAGCGGCUCAUGCCUGUAAUCCCAGCACUUUGGGAGGCUGAGGCGGGUGGAUCACUUGAGGCCAAGAAUUUGAGACCAGCCUGGCCAGCAUGGCAAAACUCUGUCUCUACUAAAAAUACAAAAAAAUGAGCCAGGCAUGGUGGCACUCACCUGUAGUCCCAGCUACUUGGGAGGCUGAGGCAGGAGAAUUGCUUGAACCUGGGAGGCAGAGGUUGCAGUGAGCCCAGAUUGCACCACUGCACCCCAGCCUGGUCAACAGAGGGAGACCCUUACUCAAAAAAAAAAAAAAAUCCAUGCUGUAUUUAGAAAGGAAACUAUAAUACCCUAAUUAUAGAUUUACUCUACUACUUAUCUUUUUUAUUCAUCUAAUUUCAAGUAAAUAUGUAAAAGGUAAAAUUGUUUUUCCAUCUACUACCUAAAAUCAUCUUGUAUAUCUUCAGUGCUAUGUAUUUUUCACAAUGGGAAGCAGUGAGAUAAAGAAGUAAAGAAAAUGGGAAGAGAAGCAACAAACAACUGCUUAAUUGAUAGUUCUUUGAAAGCAAGGGUAAACUGGCAGAAGAAAGGAGUUAAUGAACAGGAGAAAUGUUCAUUAAUAUGGUCUGUGUUUGAGACCAUAUAUGAAAGUGGGUUCUUAGGGAACAUUUAACGACGACAUCUUUCAAGAUCAAGUCUGGGAAGAAGAAAGGGACCAAUAGGAUGAAAAACCCCCAGUUGGCAGGAGUAGCAAUAACUUUACCAACAUUUGUAGGUUGUCAACAUAAAAUUACCAAGGUUAAGUAAAAGCUUAAAUAAGGCCGGGUGCAGUGGCUCACGCCUGUAAUCACAACUUUGGGAGGCCAGGGCAGGUGGAUCACAAGGUCAGGAGUUCGAGAUCAUCCUGGCUAACAUGGUGAAAUCCUGUUUCUACUAAAAUACAAAAAAAAAAAAAAAAAAAAAAAAAUUAGCCGGGCGUGGUGGUGCAUGCCUGUAGUACCAGCUACUCGGGAGGCUGAGGCACGGGAAUCACUUGAACCCAGGAGGUGGAGGUUGCAGUAAGCCCAGACUGCGCCACUGCAGUCCAGGCGUGGCGACAGAGUGAGACUCUGUCUAAAAAAAAACAACAACAAAGCUUAAAUAAAACCAGCAGCUACUUUUUGCUAUUUCUUUUAUAUAGUGAUACUCUUUCUUGUGAAUUUCCUCUUCCUCCUCUCCUUCUCCUCCUCCUCCUCCCCCUCCUCCUUCUUCUUAUUCUUCCUCUUCCUCCUCUUCCUCUUCCUCCUCUUCCUCUUCUUCCUCUUCCUCCUCUUCCUCUUCUUCCUCUUCCCCUUCCUCUUCUCCUUCUCCUCCUCCUCCUUCUCCUCUUCCUCCUUCUUAUUCUUCCUCUUCCUCUUCUUCCUCUUCCUCCUCUUCCUCCUCUACCUCCUCUACCUCUUCUUCCUCUUCCCCCUCCUCUUCUCCUUCUCCUCCUCCUCCUUCUUCUUCUUUCUCACUUUGUCACCCAGGCUGAGUGCAGUGGCAUGAUCACGGCUCACUGCAACCUCGACCUCCAGGGCUCAAGCCAUCCUCCUUCCUCAGCCUCCUGAGUAGCUGGGACUACAGGCGUGUGCCACCACGUCAGGCUAAUCUUUGUAGUUUUUGUAGAGAUAGGGUUUUGCCAUGUUGCCCAGGUUGGUCUCGAACUCCUGGACUCAAGUGAUCUGCCCGCCUCAGCCUCCCAAAGUGCUGGGAUUACAGGUGUGCACCACUGCUCCCAGCCUAUUUUUAUUUUAAAGAUAUUUAUUUUAGAUAGAUACUGAUGUCCUCCUCCCUUCACCCUGACACAUAGGCUCCUUUUCGUUGAAAAAUGAAAGUUUCAGGCAAGUUUCAGAAAAGUUUAUAGGCUGGGCAUGGUGGCUCAUGCCAGCACUUUGUGAGGCCAAGGUGGGCGGAUCGCCUGAGGUCAGGGGUUCAAGACCAGCCUGGCCAACAUGGCGAAACCGAUCUCUACUAAAAAUACAAAAAAAUUAGCCAGGCGUAGUGUUGGGCGCCUGUAAUCCCAGCUAUUCGGGAGGUUGAGGCAGGAGAAUCACUUGAAUCUGGGAGGUGGAAGUUGCAGUGAGCUGAGAUUGCUCCACUGCACUCCAGCCUGGGCGACAGAGCAAGAAUCCAUCUCAAAAAAAAAAAAAAAUAAUAAGAAGUUGUUUAUAGUGCCAUUGAUCAUAUCAGUGGGAAUAAUUAUACCAAUUAUUUUCAAAGUGUGGUCUGGGGGCCUCUGAGAACUUUUCAGGGAGUCUGCAAGGUCCAAACUAUUUUCAUAGUAGUACUAAGCUGUUACUUGCCUUCUUCACUCUCAUUCUUUCAUGAGUGUACGGUGGAAUUUUCCAGAGGCUACAUGAAGUGAGAUGAUGAUCUCAACUUCUUGGGAGGCUGAGGCAGGAGAAUCACUUGAACCCUGGAGACAGAGGUUGCAGUGAGCCAAGAUCACGCCAUUGCACUCCAGCCUGGGUGAUUGAGUGAGACUCUGUUUCAAAAAAAAAAAAAAAAAAAAAAAAAAAGUUAAAAAACUCCUUUUUUGGUCUAACACACUAAAAGUCAAGUUUUGAUAAUUUAUUUGAAGAACUAUUAGAUAAAUAUAGUAGCAGAGAACAAUGGGCUAGAAUAGAGUCCAGAAAGAGACAUAAAUAUUUAUGGAAGUUAUUUAUGGGAAUUUCAGUUUAUCAUAAAGGUGGUGUUUCUUUCUUUUCUUCUUUUUUUUGAGACCGAGUCUCGCUCUGUCGACCAGGCUAGAGUGCAGUGGCACACGAUCUCGGCUCACUGCAACCUCCGCCCUCCGCCUCCUGGAUUCACGCCAUUCUUCUGCCUCAGCCUCCCGAGUAGCUGGGACUACAGGCACCUACCACCAUGCCCGGCUAAUUUUUUUUUGUAUUUGUAGUAGAGACGGGGUUUCACUGUGUUAGCCAGGAUGGUCUCGAUCUCCUGACCUUGUGAUCUCCCCGCCUCAGCCUCCCAACGUGCUGGGAUUACAGGCAUGAACCACGGCGCCCUGUGUUUUUUUUUGAGAUGGAGUUAUGGAGUUUCAGUCUUCACCCAGGCUGGAGUGAAGUGGUGCGAUCUUGGCUUACUGCAACCUCCGUCCCCCAGGUUCAAGCAAUUCUCCUGCUUCAGCCUCCCGAAUAGCUGGGAUUAUAGGCGCCCACCACCAUGCCCGGCUAAUUUUUGUAUUUUUAGCAGAGACGGGGUUUCACCAUGUUGGCCAGGCUGGUCUCAAACUCCUGACCUCAGGUGAUCCACCCGUCUUGGCCUCCCAAAGUGCUAAGAUUACAGGCGUGAGCCACCGUGCCCCACCAAAGGUGGUGUUUCAAAUUAGCGAAGACAGUUCAAUAAAUGAUGUGGGGACUGACAACUGUUUCAGGACAGGAAUAAAAUGAUCUUGGUCUAUACUUCAGUCCUUAUACCCAAAUGAACUACAAGGGAAUUAAAACUUUAAACAUUAGGAAGAUAGAAGAAAACAUGGAAUGAGGAGGCAAGGUACUGUAUAAGCUCCAGAAACUAUAAAGGAAAUGACGGAUGAAUCUGACUAUGUAAAAAUAAAAACAAAAAAUCCUUCUACAUGGCAAAUAAAAUAAAUAGCAAAGUCAAAAUGCAACUGAUAUACCAAGAAAAACUAUUUGUGAUUUGGGGGUGAUGAAAGAUUGAUUUCUUUCAUCCAGAGCCCAUAUGCAAACCAAUCAGGAAAAGGCAAACAGACCAAAAGAAAAAUGGGCAAAGGCUACAGUCUGCUUUACAGAAAAAUAAAUGCAAAUGGACAAAGAACAUGAACCUAUACUCAACUGCAGCCAUAAUUAAAGAGAUACAAAUUAAGACAACACUGAAAAGCAUUUUUUUUUUUUUUUCUGAGACUGAGUCUUACUUUGUCGCCAAGGCUGGAGUGCAGUGGCUCGAUCUUGGCUCACUGCAACCUCUGCUGCCCGGGUUCAAGUGAUUCUCCUGCCUCAGCCUCCCAAGUAGCUGAGAUUACAGGCACCUGCCACCGUGCACGGCUAAUUUUUGUAUUUUUAGUAGAGACGGGGUUUCGCUAUCUUGGUCAGGCUGGUCUCGAACUCCUGACCUCAUGAUCCACUCGCCUCAGCCUCCUAAAGUGCUGGGAUUACAGGCGUGAGCCACUGCGCCCAGCCGAAAAGCAAUAUUGUUCAUCUGUUGGAUCUACAAGCAUAUUAAAGGGUGAUGCCUAGUGCUGGCUAAGAUGUAGGUAAACACACUAUUAUAGUAAAUUGAUAAAGUCUUGCUGGAGGACACUUGGCUGUAGCUAGUAAAAUAGAAGAAAUGUGUGAUAAUGCGUAGUAAUAGCAAAACUUAUGAAAUAACACACAACAAUAAUAUAUAUAUAUGUAUAUAUAUAUAACAAAAUAAAAAAAGAUACAUAUAUUUGACCUGGUAAUUCCACUGCUAGGAAUUCAUUCUCCAGAUAACCUGCAAAGGCUUGCCAAUAUGCACAUCCUGUGAGUGUGUUUAGAUGAGAGAGCUCUUGGCAAGGCUCAGUUGGUGGAGUCCCACUGUGACCCUCAGCUGACUAUGUUGUGUUAGUAAGACAGUGUGUAUAGAACAAUAACUAUGGUUAAGUGAAACCUCUGCUUGUUUUUCUUUUUGUUUUUUGUUUGAGAGGGAACCUCACUCUGUCACCCAGGCUGGAGGGCAGUGGUGUGAUCUUGGCUCACUGCAGCCUCUGCCUCCAGGGUUCAGGCAAUUUUCCUGCCUCAGGCUUCCUCAGGCGUAGCUGGGAUUACAGGCACGCACCACCUAGCCCCGGUUAAUUUUUGUAUUUUUUUAGUAGAGAUGUGGUUACACCAUGUUGGCUAGGCUGGUCUUAAACUCCUGACCUCGAGUGAUCUGCCUGCUUUGGCCUCCCAAAAUGCUGGGAAUACAGGCGUGAGGCACCGCACCCGACCUUCUGCUUAUUUUUCUAUAUUGAUCAUGUACCACUUUAGCUUAUGGAAUUGUGGCAAUACAAUUUCAGUUUGUACAUCUACUUUGAUUUGCUGUUUCUGCAUUCUUGUUUUAGCACUGUAUUAGAGGUAGUUUUUUCAAAAUUCAUGCCAACAUAAAUAGCUUCAUCCCCAGGAGAUGAUCAGUGCAAAAGUUUCAAUUACUCCUGUCACUUUUUUUUUUUUUUUUUGAUGGAGUCUCGCACUGUUGCCCAGGCUGGAUGCAGUGGCAUGAUCUCAGCUCACUGCAAGCUCUGCCUCCCGGGUUCAUGCCAUUCUCCUACCUCAGCCUCCCUAGUAGCUGGGACUACAGGCGCCCGCCACCAUGCCCAGCUAAUUUUUUGUAUUUGUAGUAGAGACGGGGUUUCACUGUGUUAGCCAGGAUGAUCUUGAUCUCCUGACCUCGUGAUCCGCCCGCCUCGGCCUCCCAAAGUGCUGGGAUUACAGGCGUGAGCCACCGCACCCGGCCUCUCCUGUCACUUUUAAAAAAGUUACUCCUCAUAUCUAUUGGCUGAGGAGAUGGAAGUGUUUCUGGGGAUUUGAGAUGCUAAGAUGAUGAUGUUUUAGGCCCACGGCCAUGGCACCUACUUUUGUUCUAUUCAGCCUACUGAGAGGUGACAGUGUGCUGGCAGCCCUCACAGCCCUCCCUCGCUCUCAGCGCUUCCUCUGCCUGGGCUCCCACUUUGGCGGCACUUGAGGAGCCCUUCAACCCGCUGCUGCACUGUGGGAGCCCCUUCCUGCGCUGGCUGAGGCAGGAGCUGGCUCCCUCAGCUUGCGGGGAGGUGUGGAGGAGAGGCGCGGGCAGGAACAGCAGCAGUGUGACUUCCGGGUGGGCGUGGGCUCGGUGGGCUGCACACUCAGAGCGGCCAGCUGGCUCCGCCGGCCCGGGGCAGUGAGGGGCUUAGCACCUGGGCCAGCAGCUGCUGUGCUUGACUUCUCGCCGGGCCUUAGCUGCCUCCCUGUGGGGCAGGGCUCGGGACCUGCAGCCCGCCAUGCCUGAGCCUCCCCCCGCCAUGGGCUCCUGCACUGCCGGAGCCUCCCCGACGAGCGCCGCCCCCUGCUCCAUGGCACCCAGUCCCAUCGACCACCCAAGGGCUGAGGAGUGCGAGUGCAUGGCGUGGGACUGGCAGGCAGCUCCACCUGCGGCCCCGGUGCAGGAUCCACGGGGUGAAGCCAGCUGGGCUCCUGAGUCUGGCGAGGACUUGGAGAACCUUUAUGUCUAGCUAAGGGAUUGUAAAUACACCAAUUGGCACUCUGUAUCUAGCUCAAGGUUUGUUAAACACACCAAUCAGCACCCUGUGUCUAGCUCAGGGUUUGUGAAUGCACCAAUGGACACUCUGUAUCUAGCUACUCUGGUGGGGACUUGGAGAACCUUUAUGUCUAGCUAAGGGAUUGUAAAUACACCAAUUGGCACUCUGUAUCUAGCUCAAGGUUUUUAAACACACCAAUCAGCACCCCGUGUCUAGCUCAGGGUUUGUGAAUGCACCAAUCGACACUCCGUAUCUAGCUAAUCUAGUGGGGACGUGGAGAACUUUUGAGUCUACCUCAGGGAUUAUAGAUGCACCAAUCAACACCCUGUCAAAACGGACCAAUCAGCGCUCUGUAAAACAGACCAAUCAGCUCUCAGUAAAAUGGACCAAUCAGCAGGAUGUGGGUGGGGCCAGAUAAGGGAAUAAAAGCAGGCUGCCGGACCCAGCAGUGGCAAGGCGCUUCGGUUGUCUUCCAUGAUGUGGACGCUUUGUUCUUUUGCUCUUUGCAAUAAAUCUUCCUGUUGCUUUCUUUGGGUCCACACUGCCUUUAUGAGCUGUAACACUCACCGUGAAGGUCUGAAGCUUUACUCUGGAAGCCAGUGAGACCAGGAACCCACCGGGAGGAAUGAACGACUCCAGACACACCGCCUUAAGAUCUGUGACACUCACCGCGAAGGUCUGCAGCUUCAUUCCUGAUCCAGCGAGACCAUGAACCCACCAGAAGGAAAAAACUCCGGACACAUCCGAACGUCUAGAAGAAACAAACUCCAGACACACCGCCUGUAAGAACUGUAACGGUCACCGCGAGGGUCCGCGGUUUCAUUCUUGAAGUCAGUGAGACCAAGAACCCACCAUUUCUGGACACACUACCAUGCCAGAGAUCCAGGGGCUGCAGCAUGCUGAAAGAAAACAGAAGCCUGUGGAGUGAGCCAAGAUCAACCAGGAAAUAAACCCUUUCCCUUGCGAUGUCUCUCCAGCGCCCUCUACUGACAAACCUGCUUUAGUGCCAGUUUGUAGAGGUAAACUAUUUAAAGGGUCUGAAUUAUUUUCAUGGGGGGCAAAACUCAUGAAUUUGGAGCUGAGAGGCAAUAUAUCAAUAACAGACACACCUUACACGCAUGUACGGACCAGAUAAGGAAAACUCUACAUAUUUCCAGAAACUUAUCUGUGUGCAGCUCUGUUCUCUCUGGUCCUCUGCUCCAUGAAUUCUAGUGCCUUUGGCCUCCCUGGACUUUGAACUUUGUUUUCUCAACCCUAGGAGACUGCAGGGCUGUGCAUGGAUACCUUUUCCCUGUGUCACAGCCUGGAAAUUUUAUCUAGGAAGUAAGCUGGAGGCAAUAGUAGGGCUUAUCUUAUUUGUUCCCCUUCCCUAGGUGAUCACUCUUAUAUUUCUUGUCCAAUGUUUGGAAACUGUUGCUUUACAUAUUUUACUCAUUUUUAAAGUUGUGUAAGUAGGAGGGUAAAUCUGGUCUUUGUUAUUCUACCAUGUCUUGGGCCAAGAAGGAAGUCCCACCUCCUUAUUUUCUUUUUUAAGAAACAUAUUUUUAUUUAUUUAUUUAUUUAUUUAUUGAGAUGGAAUUUCGCUCUUGUCGCCCAGGCUGGAGUGCAUUGGCACAAUCUCAGCUCACUGCAACCUCUGCCUCCCAGGUUCAAGUGAUUCUCCUGACUCUGCCUCCAGAGUAGCUGGGACUACAGGCACCUGCCACCAUGCAUGGCUAAUUUUUGUAUUUUUGGUAGAGAUGGGGUUUCGCCAUGUUGGCCAGGCUGAUCUCGAGCUCCCGACCUCAGGUCAUCCACCUGCCUUGGCCUCCCAAAGUGCUGGGAUUACUGGCGUGAACUACUGUUCCCGGCCUGUUUUAUUUUUAAUUUUAAUUUUUACUUUUAAAGUUGACAAAGUGUUUAUAUUUACGGUGUACAACAUGCUGUUUUGAUAUAUGCUUGCAUUGUGGAAUGACUGAAUCAGGCCACCUUUUUUUUUUUUUUUUUUUUUUGAGACAGAGUUUCACUCUUGUUGCCCAGGCUGGAGUGCAGUGGCGCAAUCUUGGCUCACCGCAACCUCCACCUCCUGGGUUCAAGCGAUUCUCCGGCAUCAGCCUCUUGAGUAGCUGGAAUUACAGACAUGUGCCACCAUGCUUGGCUUAUUUUGUAUUUUUAGUAGAGACGGGUUUGUCCACGUUGGUCAGGUUGGUCUUGAACUCUUGACCUCAGGUGAUCUGCCUGCCUCUGCCUCCCAAAGUGUUGGGAUUAUAGGCGUGAGCCACCGUGUCCGGCCUUGCUUUCUUUUUGUAUGCAUUUGCUUGGUAUAACUUUGCUUAUCCUUCUAUUUUUAAGUUUUCAGAAUCUCUUUGUUUUAGAUAUGUCUCUUGUGUACAACAUAUUGUUUGUUUGUUUUUGAGACCGAGUCUUGCUCUGUCACCUAGGUUGGAGUGCAAUGCCAUGAUCUUGGCUCACUGCAACCUCUGCCUCCUGUGUACAAGCAAUUCUCCUGCCUCAGCCUCCCAAGUAGCUGGAAUUACAGGCAUGCGCCAUCACACCUGGCUAAUUUUUGUUUUUUUAGUAGAAACGAGGUUUCACCAUAUUGGUCAGGCUGGUCUCGAACUCCUGACCUUUUGAUCCACCCGCCUCGGCCUCCCAAAGUGCUGGGAUUACAGGCGUGAGCCACCACACUCAGCCUAUGUCUACACUUUUUAUUUAUUUUUUAAUUUUACUAUUAUUUUUUGACAGAGUCUCGCUUUGUUGCCCAGGCUGGAGUGCAGUGGCACAAUCUUGGCUCACUGCAACCUCCACCUCUGGAUUCAAGUGAUUCUCCUGCCUCAGCCUCUCAAGUAGCUGGGAUUACAGGCAUGCGCCACCAUGCCCAGCUAAUUUUGUAUUUUUAGUAGAGAUGGGGUUUCACCAUGUUGGCCAGGCUGGUUUCAAACUCCUGACCUCAGAUAAUCCACCUGCCUUGGCCUCUCAAAGUGCUGGGAUUACAGGUGUGAGUCAUUGUGCCCAGCCUAUAUCCACACUUUUUAGGAACCUCUUUCUUUAGAUGGUCUCAUGCAGUUUCAUUAUGUGUUUAGUUAUGGAUUUGUUUUCUUUUUUGCUUUUAAUCCUGUUUGUAAUUCCUUGGGUUUCCUUUAUUACUGUCUUCUAUCAGUUCUGGAAUUCUCAGCCAUUGCCAGAUAUUUUCUUCUUUCCUUUUGAGACUCCAUUUAAAGCUAUGUUAAAUGCUCCUUAUUUUCUGCCCCAUAUAUAACUUCUCUUCUAUGUUUUCCUUUUUUUUCUUUGUGUUAUGUUUUCCUGGCCUAUCAUCCAGUCUGUAAAUUCUCUCUUCACCUGUUUCUUAUUUUCUGCUUUUGUUUUUUUUUGAGACAGAGUCUUGCUCUGUCGCCUGGGCUGGAGUGCAGUGGUGCCAUCCUGGCUCACUGCAACCUCCACCUCCUAGGUUCAAGCGAUUCUCCUGCCUCAGCCUCCUGAGUAGCUGAGACUACAGGUGCCCACCACCACGGCCAGCUAAUUUUUGUAUUUUAGUAGAGACGGGGGUUUUACCAUGUUGACCAGGCUGGUCUCGAACUCCUGACCUCAAGUGAUCCACCCACCUCGGCCUCCCAAAGUGCUGGGAUUACAGGUGUGAGCCACUGCAACUGGCCCUUGUUUUCUUUUUCAUGCAUAUAUUUUCACACUUGCUUUUUUAUUUCUUUUAAAUAUAUUAACUUUAGUUCAUUUAAAAUCUGCCUCUGAUAAUUGCUGUAUCUGAAAUCUUUGCAGGUUUUUUCUAGUUCUUGCUCAUGAUGUCAUUUUUCCUUUUGUGCCUCAUUAUUUUGAGUACAUACUCAUUGUCCUUGAAAAUCAUUUGUGGGGUUUCUUUAAGUUGUAGGGUCAAAGUACAUUGCUCCAGAGAGGACUUUCGUUGACUUCUCCAAAGUGUCUUUGGGGAUUACCAGUCUGGGACCAUCUUAAAACAAAUUCACAACUUGAAAUUCCUGGGCUACCUAGGUGAUAUGAAUCCAGCCUGUAAAUUUGUUACAGGCGGUCUCUGGCCAAAACUUUUCUUUUUUUUUUUUUUUUGAGACAGACUCUCUGUCACCCAGGCUGGAGUGCAGUGGGGUGAUCUUCGCUCACUGCGACUUCUGCCUCCUAGGUUCCAUUGAUUCUCUUGCAUCACCCUCCCAAGUAGCUGGGACUACAGGCACACGCCACCACGCCUGGCUAAUUUUAGUGAUGGGGUUUCACCAUGUUGGCCGGGCUGGUCUCGAACUCCUGACCUCAAGUGAUCUACCUGCCUCGACCUCCCAAAGUGCUAGGAUUACAGGUAUGAGCCACAGCACCUGGCCUGGCGAAAAUUUUUCAAGGCCAGUUUUAUUCCUCCACCUGUUCCCGGCCACCCCCUUGUUUGUUUAGUAUCAGGGCAGUCUUCCUAAGUUUGUUGGAGGCAUGGAGCAGGUUUACUUCUGGCUCACCUUUACCUUGAGGGUGUGGCCUUUUGGGGGAGGUGGGUGGUCUCAGCUUCACGUACAGAGGGUCUCAUACUAGCCUUUUCAUCUGGGAGGGCCCUGGGCCCUGAGUUCUUUCCUCCUCAACCCAUGAGGCCACCAAAACUGAGGUCCACGUUUGUCCUGAUCAGCAGUUAUCCUCAGGGCAAUAGCAGCAUCAGUGCUCCCUACCAAGCUUACCUCACUGGUCUGCUUUCCUUUAGAAAUUUGCAUGGUAGUUCCUUAUUUUCUUGUCAGCUGAUGUUGCUUUUAGGGAGAUAUGUGCUGCAUUUUAUUUAGCACUUGUAGUUUUCAGCAGGAGAUUUGGCCCAAAUAAGAUUGAAAUUGGAAAUCUAGUUAAAUUUUAAAGCACACACCUACUAUAGGAGGAAGGAAAUUAACAUUUAUUUACUCUCUUAUUCUGUACUAGGAGCUGUGUUGGGUCUUCUCAUAUCAUACAGCCAAAAAAAACGUAAGGUCGAGAAAGAUUAAUUGACAUACAAAAGAUUGCAUGUGGCAACUUUUCAAUUCCAGCCCAAUAUUUUGUUUUUGUUUGAUACAGGAUCUCACUCUGUCACCCAGGCUAUAGUGCAGUGGUGCAAUCAUGGCUCACUGCAGCCUCCACCUCCUGGGCUCAGGUGAUCCUCCCACCUCAGCCUCCCGAACAGCUAGGACCACGGGCACGCACUACCAUGCCCAGCUAAGUUUUCUAUUUUUUUGUAGAGACAGGGUUUUGCCAUGAUACUCAGACUGGUGUCGAACUCCUGGGCCUUGGCCUCCCAAAGUGCUGAGCCACCACGCCUGGCCCAGUCCAAUGUUUUUCUAUCCGGAUUUCGCUUUCUUUUCUUUUUGACGGAGUCUCGCUCUGUCGCCCAGGCUGGAGUGCAGUGGCCGGAUCUCGGCUCACUGCAAGCUCCGCCUCCCGGGUUCAUGCCAUUCUCCUGCCUCAGCCUCCUGAGUAGCUGGGACUACAGGUGCCUGCCACCAUGCCUGGCUGAUUUUUUUGUAUUUUUGGUAGAGACGGGGUUUCACCGUGUUAGCCAGGAUGGUCUCGAUCUCCUGACCUCAUGAUCCGCCUGCCUCAGCCUCCAAAAGUGCUGGGAUUACAGGCGUGAGCCACUGUGCCCGGCCUCUUUUCUUUUUUCUUUUCUUUCUUUUCUUUCACUUACUUUUCUCAAGACAGGGUCUCACCCUGUCACCCAGGCUGGAGUGCAGUGGUGGGAUCUCGGUUCACUGCAACCUCCUCCUGGGCUUAAAUGAUCCUCCCAUCUCAGCCUCCUGAGUAGCUGGGACUACAGGCGUGUACCACCACGCCUGGUUCUGUUUGCUUUCUACUAUAGCAAACUAUGUCUUGUAUUUUUUGAGUACCUACAGGGUCUCAGCUUUGAGGAUACAGUUAAGAAGUGCCUGACGUGUAUGGUAGAUCAAAAAUAUUUGUUGGGCUGGGUGCAGUGGUUCACGCCUGUAAUCCCAGCACUUUGGGAGGCCAUGGUGGGUGGAUCACCUGAGGUCAGGAGUUCGAGACCAGCCUGGCCAAUGUGGUGAAACCCCAUCUCUACUAAAAAUACAAAAAUUAGGCUGGGUGUGGUGGCCCACACCUGUAAUCCCAGCACUUUGGGAGGCCGAGGCAGGCGGAUUGCCUGAGGUCAGGAGUUUGAGACCAGCCUGGCCAGCAUAGUGAAACCCUGUCUCUACUAAAACUACAAAAAUUAGCUGGGCAUGGUGGCAGGCACCUGUAAUCCCAGCUACUUGGGAGGUUGAGCCAGGAGAAUUGCUUGAACCUGGGAGGCAGAGGUUGCAGUGAGCCAAGAUCACACCAUUGCACUCCAGCCUGGGCGACAAGAGUGAAACUCCAUCUAAAAAAAAAAACGUGUAUAUAUGUAUAUAUAUAUAGGGGUGUGUGUGUGUGUGUAUAUGUGUGUGUGUAUAUAUGUAUAUAAAUAUAAAUCUAUAAAUAUAAAUAUAUUAAAAAAUAUAUAAAUAUAUAUAUAAAUAUAGAAUGAGUAAAAGUGAGUGAAUGAAUGACUUGUAGCAUGAAGAGCUGCAGACAAAACUCCUCAGACACCAGAUUAAAGAAGGAAGAGGUUUAUUCGGCUGGGAGUGUCGGCAGAUUUGCAUCUUAAGAGCUGAGCUCCCUGAAAAAGAAAUUCUUGGCCUUUUUAAAGGCUUACACAACUCUAAGGGGUCCACGUGAAAAGGUCAUGAUAAAUUGGGCAAGCAUGGGGAACGUGACUGGGGGCUACAUGCAUCAGCUAACAGAACAGAAAGUUUUGCAAUGCUUUUUCAUACAAUGUCUGGAAUUUACAGAUAACACAAGUAGUUUAGGUCAGGGAUUGUUAUUAUUAUUACUUUUUUAACUUCUAGGGCCGCGGUGGUGGUGCCAAGGUUGUCUGGCUGUUUAUCUUUUGUUUCUUUCCAACUUUUUGCUUUCUCUCUUUUCUCCUGUUUUGUGAACUAGGCAAGGUGGGGGGAGGAGGGCAGCAGGAAUAGUAGUGGUCUCCUUCCUUAUCCCCCUCUUUGAGAAUUUCACUAAUUAGUGGAGUUCUCACUUUUAUUUUUACUUUGAGUCUCUUUGCGAGACAGAGUGAUAGUGUUUUAUGUAAUACACUUGUGCUGAAGUUUUUUGACAAACCAUGGUAGCUACAAAACCUUUUAUCAUUUGAAGGAGCAAGCGUAAUACACAGGGGAGCAGCAAGCAAGUUUCUAUUACUAGUAAUACACUUACAAUGAGGGUUUUAAAUUCGCUUACAGCUAGAAACUAUUUUCUAAAUAUAGACCUAGGAUCAAACCUGUGUUAAACCUGUACAGGCAAAUGUACCAACUUUGUCAUGUCCUAAGCAGGUUAGUUCUUUUACUGGGUUUUAAAAGCUUUUUCGUAGCGAGUAACACAGUAUUUCUUAAUAAUGGAAGUUUUUAAGAGCCAGAUGCUUGAAAUUGUGGCGUCUGUUUGGGGAAAGAGUUAGUUAAAGUAAAGUUAUCUUGAGGCAUUAACUCUUUUGCUUCUCAAGGCCAUUGGUCUCUUAUGUUAGCCUUUUUAUAAACAUAACAUGAGGAAACGUCUAGGCUGCCGGCAAUGUUUUCAGCCAGCUGAGCAAAUAGGUGUUUUUUUUUUUUUUUUUUUUUUUUUUUUGCUAAAGGAGGAUGCUCUGGUAAACUUCUGGUUUAUAUGUUGAAAGAAUGACUUAAAGACUCGGAAUUGUUGCUGGGUGGGAUGGGCCUGGGUUUCCUGACUAAGUAGUAUGUGUACAGUGGGGAUACCUUAUAUAGGUGUUUCUUCUAGCAUGGUUAUGGGGGGUAACAACAACAAAACAAUGUACAGCAUAUUCAUAUCCAGCAAAGACAAAAGAGGUCCUUACCUGGGAAAAAGGUUGAAUACAGAGACAGAACAAUAGGAAAACAGGUAGUAUUACAGGAAAACUACUAGUCUUAAGAUUUUUAACUACAUCACUUGGCUUGGUAAGUCCUUAAGCUUUGGCUGUGAGUAGACUAGUCAGCUGCCAGUGUGACUAGAGCAGGGCUUGUUUCAAGCUUCAGCCAUGCAUAGACUGGUCAGCCUCUGGAGUGACCAGAGCAGGGCUAUCGUCCUCAGCAGCAGCUUGGUCUCAUCUCAGGAUCAGCCGGGUUGGAUGAUCUGUGUCCUGCUGGCUGGUCUGCUUGUCCUGAGCUGCCAGUGUUAGCUGACUGGGAUGGAUCUGAGACACAACACCUGCAACUUCUAACAGCAGUAGGAGUAGACAAGAUUACAGUAUAGGGCCCAUCCUAUAUGGGUCCUAGAAAAAUUAGAUUUUACUUUUUUACUUUAAACAGAGUCACUAGAUUUAAAGCGGUGUCAGGCUUAUAGGCAUUUGUAUGUAUUUAAUUAUGAACACUUUGUAUGGCUAUUUCUAAAAACUGCAUUUGCUUUCUUAAGGUUAAUUCCUUUAGUUCCUGGAGGUCACCUCUAAUUUGACCUGUAAUUUGGGGGUGGCUGACCGAACAAAAUCUUACAGAACAAAUACCUAGUUUGUUUGGUGGGGGUGCACCUGACUCGGAGGAGGACCAUAGGCAAAAACCUGAUUUUAUCUUAAAUGUAUUUCCUGGCAAUAUUUUUUCAGUAGCUGCUCAAGUGUCCAGUUCAUGCAUUCCACCUUAUCUUGAACUUUGCGGCCAAUAGGCUGUGUGUAACUUCCAUUUUAACAGUCUUGUUAAAUCUUGCACUAGUUCAGCUACAAAUGCUGGCCUAUUGUCUGACUUUAAAGUUAGAGGCAGUCUAAACCUGGGGAUAAUGUCUUUUAAACAGUACUUUAGUUACUUUUUGUACUUUUUCUGUCCUGGUGGGGAAAACUUUAACUUACCCUGAAAAGGUGCAAACAAGCACUAGCAUGUACCGAUAGCCUCCAGCAUGGGUCAGUUCUGUAAAGUCUAUAAGCAAGUUUUCACAAGGUAUGGCUCUUUCUCCUGUUUAAGUUUCUUGGAGGGGUUCUUUUUCUUCCCCCCCUUUAUAACUCUAUCUAGUGGCUUAGCCAUCAGUGAGAAAUUGGAGUCCAAAUACGGCAGAAUCCUGCUGCUUUUAACUUCUAAUGUGACCAUGGGCUCCUGGGAGCCUAAAGAGAAGGUGCCUAGUCUGCCCUAGUCUUUACAUUCUUCAGCUCCUGCCAGCCUGAUCAGAUCAGUAUUUGGUUCCUCCAAGGUGCGGCAGCCCUUGGCCGAUGGCCUCUUUGUCUUGCCGCCUUGGCCAUUUCCUUUAUUGCCUUCUGAACAUUCACCCUUCUAGUGUCCUUUCUUUUUGCAUCUCGUACAUUAAUCCCUCUCUAGCCUUGUCCGGCUCUUGAAUCCUUGCCUAACGUGACUUCUUCCACGUCUAUGUCCGCAUCCACGUCCUCUCACAUUGCUAAUCUCUCUUUUUAUAAGAGCUGUUGCUAACAGAUUGGCUUUUUUAAGUCUUUAAUUUAUUUAUUUUUUUCCUUCCUGAGUUCUCCUGCUCCUACGGCCAGCUGGCAGGGCCAGGCAACAGCACGGGCCCUGCCCCCGCGCACUGCUGUCUGUCUCUCUUGUUUACUUCUGAUUCUCUUUUUCACACUUAGUCUUAGUCUUUCUUUUUCUUUUGGUCUUUUCCCGGCGCCAGUCCCUGGCUCCUUCUUUUUUUAGAUAGAGCCAGGCUGGGGAGAGGGACUUAAUCCUUGGCGUGCCUAGCUGCUUCGAUUGUUGCUUUUGCUCUUUCCCUUUUUGUUCCUUGGUCCCAGUUAACAUACACCUUGGUGGCCACUUUUAUAGACUGGGUGGUAUUCAUGCCUGCAGCUUCUGCUUGAUGUUAUUCUGGGCUUGCUUUACAAAUGAGGUAUUCACUAUAUACUGAUUUUUCAGCAGCCUCAGGGUUAAAUGGGGUGUAAAGCCAGAAUGCUUUAUAGAGUCUCUUAUAAAACUGACUUAGGCUCUUGUCAGCUCCUUGAAGCACUUCUGAAAUCUUUUUUAUAUUAAUUGCUUUUUUUCUACCAACUGUUUGCCUCUGCAGAAGUGCUUCUCAGUAUCUCUGCAAACGCUGAAGCUGAGUUGCAUUCUCUGGGUCUUUUUCCUAUUUUUCCUAGAGUUUAACAGGCCCUUUUCUUUAUUUAAUUAUCCAUGCACUUGGAGGGUUAAACAGGCAUACCGAGAGUCAGUGUAAAUGUUUACAGUCUUACCUUCACUGAGUUCUAAGGCCUGAAUUAAAGGAAUGAGCUCAGCUUAGCGACAAUGUCCAGGGUUAUCACCAUGUAUCCUGCACAUCUGUCUCCUUGUGGGUUGAUGAAGCUGUUCCCAUCCACGUAUAGCUCCCAGCCUACUGAUGCCCAAGGCUGGUCCUGGAGGUCAGGUCUGCUAGAGUAAACUUGAGUCCAACACCUCUACACAGUUAUGCUCGACAGGGCUCUAGUUGCCAGGAGCAAGGUGGCGGGUUCAGGGUGUUUCCAGUUUAGUAGAUCAAUGGUUGAAAAGGGCUGAUAGAUGAAAGUCUGUUGUCCCCCCGGAUGUGGGCCUGGUCAUUAUAAAUAGACAGGUCCUCACCUCUCCCUGAGAGGCAUUUGCAUAGCUCGAGCAAGACCAGAUCUGAGAUGGCCCACUUGACUAUCUUGACUUCCUUCCUUGGCCUCUCGAGGUUCCGAUUCUCCCCUUCGAGGUGAGACCUGGGGUGUGUUAGCUCCUGAAUCUGGUUUCUGAGGGGGCUGUUGGCCUCGGUAAAGGGGGGUAGGCUAGGACAUAUGGAGAAAGAAUUUCUGUUUAUCUCUGGCGGCUUCUGCAAAACUGGCUUCUCUUGCUGUUUCUGGGACUCCCUUUUUAACUCUGUGUCUGCUGGCGAAGCUGCUCUUACUUUUACUUUUGGCUUUUUUGCAAUAAGCUGUUAAACAGGGCUAAAUUUAUGCCAGUUUUGUCUAUAUUAUAUUUAACCAUGAGUCAAUAUAAAGGAAUUGCUACAGGUACACUGGCUGUCCUCCGACCCCUGUCACCACCUUAAAUACAUGGCCAAUUGUUCCCUGUCUGUAGUUCCUUUGGUGGGCCAUCCAACACCAAAAGAGGGCAAUUCUAAUUCACCCAGAGUUCUUAACCUCUGGGGGGUUAACUUAACUCUAUAAUCCCCUGCAAAACCUUUCUUAAGGUUUUGUAACAUGCAUUUUAAUAGAGUAAGUUUUGAUGAUUACUUUCCUUUUAUUUUUCUUUUCUUGGAAUUUUUUUUAACACAGUUUCUAGCAGAGUGGGCUUACUUUGUGUCUGACCUAUUUUUCUCUCGAGACAAAACAACAUUCACACUACAAGAAGGAAAGGGUAAAAGGUCACUCACUCGUCUAUUUCACACUAAAUCAAAAUCAAAACUAAAACCAAAGUGUCGUUAAAGGCACCUCUGUUCGUCAAGCAAUUUAAGCCAAGUCAAAAUCAGAACCAAAACCAAAGUGCCAAUAAAGGCAUGCCUGUUUAUCAAGCAAUUCAAGUCAAGUCAAAAUCAAAACUAAAACCAAAUUAUCAAGCAAUGCAAGUCAAGUCAAAAACAAAACCCAAAGUGCCGGUACAGGCACGCCGUGGGUGAUCAUGCCAUGCUUCCACUCAAAUGGAGUGGGCAAGUUCCAAAGACCAGUCUUACCAAGUUUCAGAUGUCCAGACUUAAAGUGCCAGUUCCUUCCCAGUGUUCAGCCACUGCAUUGGUCCUUCAUGUGGGCUUGCCAUGCACCGCUCUGAUGAGGCGUUGUACCGGGGCAAAUGCCUGCCUGGGAGCGCUCAUCAGGAUCUACAUUGCUCAAGCUGGCCGGAGUCCCCCACAGGGAUGCUCUACAGGGCAGGCAUAAGCUGCCUAAGGGGCUGUGUCGACCGUCCAUUAAUCACCUCGCUUCCCGGUCAGGGAACCAAGAAAUGUAGCAGGACAAGCUGCAGACAAAACUCCUCAGACAUCAGAUUAAAGAAGGAAGAGGUUUAUUCAGCCAGGAGCAUCAGCAGACUUGUGUCUUAAGAGCCAAGCUCCCUGAAAAAGAAAUUCUUGGCCUUUUUAAAGGCUUACAACUCUUAAGAGGUCCACAUGAAAAGGUCAUGAUAAAUUGAGCAAGUGUGGGGAACGUGACUGGGGGAUACAUGCAUCAGCUAACAGAACAGAAAGUUUUGCAAUACUUUUUCAUACAAUGUCUGGAAUUUACAGAUAACACAAGUAGUUUAGGUCAGGGGUUGAUGUUGUUAUUAUUACUUUUUUAACUCCUAGGGCCGGGUAGUGGUGCCAAGGUUGUCUGGCUAUUUAUCUUACUUUUGUUUCUUUCCAACUUUUUGCUUUGUCUUUUCUCCUGUCUUGUGAACUAGGCAAGGUAGGGGGAGGAGGGCAGCAGGAGUAGUAGUGGUCUCCUUCCUUAGAAUGACCCAGACAGAGUUCUUAAUUUUGUGAUGUACUGGGGAACACAAUUUACUAGGGGAUAUAAAUGUGUAAAUACACCAACUACAAUUUGAUGUAAGUGACAAUAGAGAUAUGAGCUGAGUGCUGUGAGAACACAGUACAGAAUUCUCUUUAGUAAUUUAGCAGGUUAGAAGUAGAGGCUGUCGCGUGUGAUGAGUCUGGAGAGAUAGGUGGGAUCCAGAUACUGAAGGACCUUUACCUAUUACAUUGAGUACUUAGUUUAUGCCGAGCAGUGGUUGAUAUACUUUGCCUGAGUUGAUUUAAUCCUCACAGCAUCCUGUGGGUACUGUUACCAUCUUUACAUUACAGGUACAGAAACUGAUACACUAAGAGGUUACAACAUGGCAAAGAUCACACAAGCUAGUACAGAACAUAUCUGAGCUUUGAAUAUAGGUAGUUUUAUUUUUUUCUUGUUUUUUUUUUUUUGAGACCUAGUCUCACUCUUGUCACCCAGGCUGGAGUGCAGUGGCAUGAUCUCACUCACUGCAACCUCUGCCUCCCGGGUUCAAGCAAUUCUUCUGCCUCAGCCUCCCGAGUAGCUAGGAUUACAGGCAUGUGCCACCAUGCUUGGCUUAUUAUUUUGUAUUUUUAGUAGAGAUAGGGUUUCACAAUAUUGGCCAGGCUUGUCUCAAACUCCUGACCUUGUGAUCCGCCCGCCUCAGCCUCCUAACAUGCUGGGAUUAUGGGCGUGAGCCACCACACCUGGCUUUUUUUUUAAAAAUUGAGACGGAGUCUUGCUCUGUCACCCAGGUUGGAGUGCAGUGGCGCGAUCUCGGCUCACUGCAACCUCUGCUUCCUAGGUUUAAGCAAUUCUCCUGUCUCAGCCUUCUGAGUAGCUGGGAUUACAGGUGCAUGCCACCACGCCCGACUACUUUUUAUAUUUUUAUUGGAGAGAAGGUUUUGCCAUGUUGGCCAGGCUGGUCUCAAACUCCUGACCUCGUGUGAUCUGCCCCCCUCGGCCUCCCAAAGUGCUGGGAUUACAGCUGUGAGCCACUGCCCAGCCGAAUAUAUGUAGGUUGACUAUGGAUCUACAUCCCUAACCACUAUGCUGUGCUUUUUCUCUCUAGUAGUAUGGAUAUACUUUCUUACUAGCGUAUGCAAAUCUACUAGCUGUAUUUUAUUUCUCUGUGUGGUUUUACUAUAAUUUAUUUAACUGGAUUGAUAGAGAUUGUUGGUUGUUUCUAGUUUUUAGCAGUUACACAUAGUGCUUUAGUGAGGAGUAUUUACUUCCCACCUCAAGCUGAUUGGGGCACACUCUCACAUGAUCACUCUUCCCUUCUUCAUCAUUACUGUAUUAAAUGAUCUCCAAAAUUCCUUCAGGGCCAUCACCCUAAAUUCUGAGAUUUGCAGAGCCAUAAUUCUUAAUCUCAAGAGCUGUAUAUAUUGUAGAUUACUUAAUGUGGUAAUUGUCAAGGCUCGUUUGUACUUUUUUUUUUUUUUUGAGAUGGAGUCGUCUUUUGUUGCCCAGGCUGGAGGGCAGUGGCACGAUCUCGGCUCACUGAAACCUCCGCCUCCUGGGUUCAAGAAAUUCUCCAGCUUCAGCCUCCCGAGUAGCUGGGACUACAGGCACGUGCCACUGCGCCCAGCUCAUUUUUAUAUUUUUAGUAGAGAAGGGGUUUCACCAUGUUGGCCAGACUGGUCUUGAACGCCUGACCUCAAGUGAUCUGCCCACCUCGGUCUCCCAAAGUGCUGGGAUUACAGGCAUGAGCCACUGCACCCAGCGAAUUUUCGUAUUAUUAUUAUUAUUUUUAUUUUUUAGUAGAGACAGUGUUUUGCUGGUCUCGAACUCCUCGGUCUCCCAAAGUGCUGGGAUUACAGGCAUGAGCCACCGCACUCAGCUGUACUCAUUUUCUAAGGAUUGAAGGCCUGGGUGACAUAUUAGUUAACAUGUAUUGAAGGUUUCCUAUACCAAGCAUUCUACUAAGUACUUUACAUGCAUUAUUCUAAUUGUCUCAGCAAUCCUGUGAGCAAUUAUAUAUAUUGUCCCUCUUCUUAAAAUGAAGAAACUGCUGGGCGCGGUGGCUCACGCCUGUAAUCCUGGCACUUUGGGAGGCCGAGACGGGCAGAUCACGAGGUGAGGAGAUCAAGACCAUCCUGGCUAACGCGGUGAAACCCCGUCUCUACUAAAAAUACAAAAAAUUAGCUGGGCGUGGUGGCAGGUGCCUGUAGUCCCAGCUACUCGGGAGGCUGAGGCAGGAGAAUGGUGUGAACCCAGGAGGCGGAGCUUGCAGUGAGCUGAGAUCACGCCACUGCACUCCAGCCUGGGAGACAGCGAGACUCUGUCUCAAAAAAAUAAAAAUAAAUAAAAAAAUAAAAAUAAAAAUAAAUAAAUGAAGAAACUGAGACUUGAUGUGUCUAUGGUCAUAUAGCUAGUAAAUAGCUCACUGAUUGCAAAGCAUAUAUAUAUAUAUAUAUAUAUACACACACACACACACACACACACACACACACACACAGAGAGAGAGAGAGAGAGAGAGAGAGAGAGAGAGAGAGAGAGAGAGAGAGAGAGUGAGACAGUCUCACUGUGUCACCCAGGCUGGAGUGCAGUGUGGCAUGAUCACAGCUCACCGCAGCCUCUAUCUCCUGGCUCUAAGCAAUCCUCCUACCUCAUCCCCCCAAGUAGCUGGGGCUACAGGUGUGCAUCACCACACCUGGCUAAUUUUUAAUUUUUUUGUGGAGAUGGGGUCUCGCUGUGUUGCCCAGGCUGGUCUUGGACUCCUGGGCUCAAGCAGUUCUCCCUCCUCAGCUUCCCAAAGUGUUGGAAUUACAGACAUAAGCCACUGCGUCCAGCCAAUGCUUGUAUUUUUAACCCUGGUAUUAAUUAUUUUGCUAGGGCUGCCAGAACAAAAUACCACAAACUGGGUGGCUUAAACAAUGGGAAUUUAAGGCCGGGCACGGUGGCUCACACCUGUAAUUUCAGCACUAUGGGAGGCCGAGGCGGGCGGAUCACGAGGUCAGGAGUUCAAGACCAGCCUGGCCAAUAUGGUGAAACCCCGUCUCUACUGAAAAUACAAAAAAUAGCUGGGUGUGGUGGCACGCGCCCGUAGUUCUAGCUACUUGGGAGCCUGAGGCAGAAGAAUCGCUUGAACCCGGGAGGCAGAGGUUGCAGUGAGCCGAGAUCACGCCGCUGCACUCCAGUCUGGGCGACAGAGCGAGACUCCGUCUCAAAAGACAAACAAAAAACAAAACAACAAAAAACAAUGGGAAUUUGUCACUUUGCAGUUCUGGAGGCUAGAAGUCUGAAACCAAGGUGUUGGCAGGGUUGAUUCCUUCUGAGAGCUCUGAGGGAGACUGUUCAAUGCCUCCUUCUAGCUUCUGGUGAUGGCCAGCAAUCCUUGGUGUUCCUCAGCUUGCAGCUGCAUCAUUCCAAACUCUGCCUCUGUUGUCAUGUAGGCACUGUAUGUCUCUUAUUUUCUUUUCUUUUUUUUUUUUUAGAUAGAGUUUCAUUCUUUUGCCCAGGCUGGAGUGAAGUGGUGUGAUCUCGGCUCACUGCAACCUCCGUACCCCAGGUUCAAGUGAUUCUCCUGCCUCAGCCUCCUGAGUAGCUGGGAUUAUAGGUGCCCGAUACCACACCUGGCUAAUUAUUGUAUUUUUAGUAGAGACGAGGUUUUACCAUGUUGGCCAGGCUGGUGUCGAACUCCUUACCUCAAGUGAUCCACCCGCCUUGGCCUUUCAAAGUGCUAGGAUUAAAGAUGUAAGCCACCACACCCGGCCUUAUGUCUCUAUUUUCACAUGGUCUUUUUCUCUUCUUAGAAAGGCAACAACGAUAUUGGAUUAGGACCAACCCUAACAGCUUCAUCUUAACACGAUUGUAUCUACAAAUACCCUAUUUCCAAAUAAGGUCACAUUCAUAGGUACUGGAAAUUAAACCUUCAACAUCUCUUUAGGGGACACAAUACAAUCCGUAACAACUCUUACUGCAAAACUGUCCUCAAAUCCCCAUGGAAAAAUAGUUGUUGACUCUUCUUUAACCACUCCCACCGAAAAAGAACAGCCGAAGAGUUCUUUUGAACUGGAGCAAAGUUUUUUUUUUUUUUAGACGGAGUUUUGCUCUUGUUGCCCAGGCUGGAGUGUAACAGUGUGAUCUUGGCUCACCGCAACCUCUGCCUCCCAGGUUCAAGCGAUUCUGUCUCAGCCUCCCAAGUAGCUAGGAUUACAAGCAUGUGCCAACACGCCCGGCUAAUUUUUGUAUUUUUGGUAGAGACAGGGUUUCGUCAUAUUGGUCAGGCUGGUCUCGAACUCCUGACCUCAGGUGAUCCACCCGCCUCGGCCUUCCAAAGUUAUUGGAUUACAGGUGUAAGCCACCGCGCCUGGCCUGGAGGAAUAGUUCUUGAAGUGUGUUCUGAGAUCAGCAGCAUUGAUAUCACCUGACAUACAGAAUCUCAGGCCUCAUUUAGGAUCUAAUGAAUCAAUCUGCAUUGUAGCAAGACCCCUGAGUGAUUUGUAUGAACUUUGAUUUUUUUUGUUUUUCAACGUAUUACUAUCUUUAUUAUGGUAUAGAGUAGUAUUUUAUACAUAGCUCAUUUUAUAGCAAAAACAUUUAUGUACAACUGUAGAGAAACCACUACACAGAUAGCUCCAAUUUAAAUUAGAAAACAUUUUGCCGGGCGUGGUGGCUCACACCUGUAAUCCCAGCACUUUGGGAGUCCGAGGCGGGCGGAUCACCUGAGGUCAGGAGUUUGAGACCAGCCUGGCCAACAUGAUGAAACCCCGUCUCUACUAAAAAUAAAAAAAUCAGCUGGGCAUGGUGGCCGUGCGCCUGUAGUCCUAGCUACUCGGGAGGCUGAGGCAGGAUUCAUGCCAAUCGCUUGAACGUGGGAGGCAGAGGUUGCAGUGAGCUGAGAUUAAGCCACUGCACUCCAGCUUGUGCAACAGAGUGAGACUCUGUCUCAAAAAAAAAAAAUUAAAAAAAAAUUGCAGCUUAUUUAUCUCUACAAGGUGUUGCCAACGAGAAAUAAAAGAGGAAUUAAAAGGUUUAGGGCAUAUUUAUAAAUAACAGGAGUAAACAUAGCUUCUAAGAGAUGCCAGGAAAUGCCUUACCAAUGUCAAGGACAAUCACUCAUGCUUUUUUAUGUCACUUCUGAUAUUUGGAAACAGAAUUAAGGUGAUGGACUGUGAGGUCUGACUCAGGCUGCUUGCUCAUAUUUGAAUGGAUUUGGUUAAAAAGGUAGUAAACAAAGUGUGAUCAUACAGGAAGCUAAUCUCACCAGCUAUGUGAAAAUCAAGCUUAAUGCUUUGUAGUCACAUCUCAUAUUCUCAUACUCAGAGGAAAAAAGCCAAGAAAAUAAUCUUCUACAGUUGUAUUUAUUCUACACUGCCUACAGAAAUAGUUUAUGUGUACAUACAAUCAAACUUUUAUCUAAUCGCUGUAAAGGUCAUUUAUAUAGGCCCCCCGAGGGCAAGGACUGUGUUAUAAUUUAUCUUUUUCAGAAUUAAACAAGCUGCCCAAGGCCAUGGAAGUGAGUUAGACCUAGCUGUUUGCUAGGUCUACAGUCUUGUGUUUUAUUUUAGGCACUGUGGCUGGCUAAUAAUUUCCCUGACUUUUACCAUAGUUAAUCAUCUCUUUUUCUUUUCUUUCUUUUUUUUUAAGAGACAGGGUCUCACUCUGUCACCUAGGAUGGAGUGCAGUGGUGCCAUCAUAGGUCACUGUAGCCUUGAACUCCUGGGCUCAAGUGAUCCUCCCACCUCAGCCUCCUGAGUAGCAGGGACUACAGGCAUGCACCACCAUGUCUGGCUGUAUUUUUAUUUUUAUUUGUAGAGAUGGGGUCUCGCUAUGUUGCCCUGGCUGGUCUUGAACUCCUGGCCUCAACUGAUCUUUCCACCUCGGCCUCCCAAAGUGCGGGGAUUACAAGUGUGAGCCGCUACACCCGACGUCUUAUUCUUAAAAUACUUGCUUCAUUUGAGUUUUAGGUUACCAAGCUUUCCUGGUUUCCUGUCUCACUGGUCACUUCUUACUGGUCACUUCUUAAUCUCCUCCUCAUUUUUGUAAACUCCUAAUGUGGGAGAGCCCUCAGACUCAACUCAGUCUUUGAACUUUUUAUCUUCUUUAGUUAUACUCAUACUUUGGUAGUCUUACCUGUCUCAUGGUGUUACCAUGAUGACUGUUAGAUCUCUAGACUUGUAUAUUUAUCUGUCUAUUUGACAUGUCUGCUUGUUUUUUUUUGUUUGUUUGUUUGUCUUUUUUUUUUUUUAGACAGAGUCUUGCUCUGUUGACCAGGCUGGAGUGCAGUGGCGUGAUCUCUGCUCAUUGCAGCUUCUGCCUCCUGGGCUCAAGUAAUUCUCCUGCCUCAGGCCCAAGCGAUUCUCCUACCUCAACCUCCUGAGUAGCUAGGAUUACAGGUGCGCACCACCAUACCUGGCUAAUUUUUGUAUUCUUAGUAGAGACGGGGUUUCAGCAUGUUGGCCAGGCUGGUUCUGAACUCCUGACCUCAAAUGAUCUGCCCGCCUUGGCCUCUCAAAGUGUUGGGACUACAGGCAUGAGCCACAGCGCUUGGCUAGGACAUGACCACUUGGAUGUGCUUCCCCUGUUGUUUUUCCCAUCUCAGUAAGUGGCAACUCCAUCUUUGCAGUUGCUCAGGCCACAAAUCAUGGCAUCACCCUUAAUUCCUCUUUUUCACUCUUCACUCAUACCCCCUAUUCAGUCCAAUCCUUUGACAGACCAUGUGGCUCUCUCCCUUUGAAAUAUUUCAGAAUCCACCACUUCUCAACUCCUCUACCACUAUCAUCUGGUCCAAGAUAUCAUUUUACCUCACUUGGACUAUUGCAAAAACCUAGCCAGUCUCCCUGCUGCUACCCUUAUUUUCUAGGGGUCUGUUCUCAAUACAGUAUUCAGAGCAUUUCUUUGGAAAUGUCAGCUCUUUUCAAUCCUCUGCUUAGAAUCUUCCAUUGACUUCUCAUCUUACUUAGAGUAAAAGCCAAAGUUCUGAAACUGGCCUAUAAAGCCUUGUGCAGCCCAUAUAUAAGGCCAGAGGUUUAUAAUAAAAUAGUGCUUCUACUUCGGUGAGAGCUCUUAACAUGAUCUUUGCUGCAUAGUCUUUCUCAUAUCAAAUGAAGAUUUUUCUGUACUGGGUUCGUACUUACACAGUAAACCUUAAUGUGGAUUAUCACGCAGUAAUUUAAUUGUUCUCUUUAGUGUUACAUUUUGAUCUGUAGCCUUAAGAAUCAUUUUUUUUCAUGGUUAUAAAGCUAAAGAGAAUUAAAAACAAACAAUAAAAAACAAAAAAAUCAUAACUUUAAAAAUUUAUAGUUGUUUUAAAAUGUGUUCUGGGCCGGGCACUGUGGCUCAUGCCCAUAAUCCCAGGACUUUGGGAGGCUGAGGUGGGCGGAUCACCUGAGGUCAGGAGUUCCAGACCAGCCUGGCCAACAUGGUGAAGCCCUAUCUCUACUAAAAAUACAAAAAUUAGUCAGGCGUGGUGGUGGAUGCCUGUAAUCCCAGCUACUCGGGAGGCUGAGGCAUGGGAAUCGCUUGAACCUGGGAGGUGGAAGUUGCAGUGAGCCGAGAUCACGCCACUGCACUCCAGCCUGGGUGAAAGAGUGAGACUCCAUCUCAAAAUAAGAGACUCUGUCUUAAAAUAAAAUAAAACAAUAAAAUAAAAAGUUUUUCAGCUUUAAAUAGAAUUUAUUCAUUCUAGAAACACUUAAAAGGGCAUAUUAUGUACCAGGCACUAGGGUUACAAAAAUGAAUAGAAAGAGAUGCACAUCAGUAAUUUUUCCCAACUGUGAGUGAAUGGUUUUAUUAUGCAUACACAUGUAUAGACAAUUCCAUAAAGAUUACCUAUUAUUCAUUACACAGAAGCCAAGGGAUAAAUUGUAUGCUGAGUAAGUAAAUCAAAAGGGAAGCAUCACUGUUUCUCCUUUUUAUUUUUCUCCUAUUUUUCCUUUAUUCCUCUUUACAUUUUGAGUAGUAAGUCUCCACAUCCCUGACCAGGCAUUUGCUAGCUGCAUCACUCCUCUCUGAUUUCAAACUUCUCUAGUUUGUUUCCAUCUUCUAUUUUUAAAGUUUUUUUCAGACAAAAAGGUCAUGUAGAUUAUAUUUUUGGUAUCUUUCAUUUCUAAGCAUGCUGCUUUAUACACAGUAGGCCCUCAAAUCUUUGAGUGCUUAUAAAUAUGAUUUUUGCUUCAUCUAAUUCUCUAGACAUGCAGUUAAGAUUACAGGAUGGGUUACUUAGUAUAUUGAAAAAGAAUGAUAUGAAAUAUGAAAAACAAAGCCAUUUAAAAGAUAUUCAUGACACUCUAGUGCUUUACUUGCCCCUGGACCAGAUGUUUGUGUUCAUGGGUCAGUGACUCUUAGCUCCGGACUGUAUUAGUGGUGCUUCACCAAAGGACUGAUUUCAGGCUAUUCUUUUAAUAGGGAAAACCCUUUAUGACUAUGUAGAUCUAUGUAUUUCCAUUUUUAGUCUUUUUUAGACUGUGUAUCAUAUAUAUAUAUUUGUAUACGUGUGUGUGUGUGUGUGUGUGUGUGUGUGUAUAUAUAUAUAUAUAUUUAUUUUUUUUUUGAGAUGGAGUCUCACUCUGUUGCCCAGGCUGGAGUGCAAUGGCAUGAUCUCAGCUCAGUGCAACUCUGCCUUCCGGGUUCAAAUGAUUAUCCUGCCUCAGCUUCCCAAGUAGCUGGGAUUACAGGCACCUGCCCCCAUGCCUGGCUAAUUUUUGUAUUUUUUUUUUUAGUAGAGAUGGGGUUUCACCAUGCUGGCCAGGCUGGUCUCAAACUCCUGACUUUAGAGGAUCCGCCCGUCUCGGCCUCCCAAAGUGCUGGGAUUACAGGCGUGAGCCGCUGUGCCCAGCUGGAUAUCAUAUUUUUGAUCCAGGUUUUGUUACACUCAGUUUCAUCUAAGGCUUAUUUUUUAUAGCUUCAGAUAUUCUUUCCUGAGACCAAACCCUAAUUACUGUAUUUGGGGCUAGGUCUCAAAUCUCGAAAAUUUACAAAUUGUGCUUGGUUUGUGUCAUUUCUGUAGAUGGCCUGACAGCCAUUAUAAAAUGAUUCUUCCUAAUCUCAUUCUGAAAGCAAUUCCACAUUAGGAAUACCUCGCUUUUGUCCCUAUGUAUCACCUUUAGUGGUUAUCUCCAUUUUAUAAAUGAGGCUACUGAAGCCCAGCAAGCUCAAGUAAUUUUCUCAGGUUCACAGCUAGCAGGUGGUGCAAGUGAUAUUCAAAACCAUGUCUGUCUGGCCCCCAAACUCAGUUUUUCUACUAUACCAUUCUGGCUUUCUUUCUUAAGGGUCUAUUAUAUUUUCUGCCUCAGAGUCACUGUAAAGAAAAUGAGAACCAUUUAUGUUAGAAAUGUGUGUGUGUGCCUUGAAUCAUCUAGCUAGAGGUCAGGAUUACUUGAUCCUACAUCCUGUAGUUUACCCAAAGUACGAUUGGUGAAAACAGGCAAUUUACUAGUCCAAUAAGUAUAGUCCAGUCUUCUAAUCUUUGGAUGAAAUACAGAAGUGUAAUCUGAGGAAAGGAAUGAAAUGCACUCUGAAGGGGCCGGGCAUUGUGGCUCGUACCUGUAAUCCCAGCACUUUGGGAGGCAGAGACGGGCGGAUCACCUGAGGUCAGGCGUUCGAGACCAGCCUGACCAACAUGGUGAAACCCCAUCUCUACUUAACAUACAAUAAUUAGCCAGGCAUGGUGGCAAGUGCCUGUAGUCCCAGCUACUUGGGAGGUUGAGGCAGGAGAAUCGCUUCAACCUGGGAGACAGAGGUUGCAGUGAGCCGAAAUCACGCCAUUGUACUCCAGCCUGGGUGACAGAGUGAUACUGUCUCAAAAAAAAAAAAAACAAAAAAAGUGAAAUGUACUCUGAAGACAUUUAAUAAACCUUUCUUCAGCUACUGAGAAUAGAAUACUAUUCAAAGUCUAAGCUAUUAUCAUAAGUUGAUUGAAAGCUGAGGUCCUUAUACAUUUUUGUCAGUUAUCAAUCAGUUAUUAAACAUUUAAAUGUAAGGACUUUUAUUCUUAUAGUAAAAACCACAGGAAAACACAUCUAAAUUGAAGUUCGGAUUCAUAUCAGGAACCUACAUAAUAUGGUGCUAGUGGUCUGUCAGGAAGCAACUGUAGCCAUCAAAAAAAGCCAUACCAGGCCGGGCGUGGUGGCUGACGCUUGUAAUCCUAGCACUUUGGGAGGCUGAGGCAGGCAGAUCACCUGAGGUCAGGAGUUCAAGACCAGCCAGGCCAACAUGGCGAAACCCCGUCUCUACUAAAAAUACAAAAAUUAGUCGGGCAUAGUGGUGCAUGCCUGUAAUCCCAGCUACUUGGGAGGCUGAGGCAGGAGAAUCGCUUGAAUCCGGGAGGUGGAGGUUGUAGUGAGCCAAGAUCGUACCACUGCACUCCAGCCUGGGCAACAGAGCGAGACUCCGUCUCUAAAAAUAAAAAUAAAGCCAUACCAAAUGGGAAAAUUUUGGAAAAUCCCCUUAUUUCAGGUUAGGUCUCAACCCCUUGUUCCUCAACAGUCAAGUCUAAUUCUGGAAGCAAUUCCAGAAGAGGGAAUUUUCUUUUCCCAUUGAAACUUAUUUAGUGUACCUAGAAGGCCCUUGGCUUCCAGAGGUGUUACACUGGAAAGAACCAGACACAGUUGAAUUAGAAUCUUGGCUCUGCCAUUUACUGCUGUAUGAACUUGGUUAGGUUACUUUGCGCCUGUUAUUUCCGAAUUUGUAAAAUGGAGAUAAAAUAUUAACCCCAUUUGAUUGCUGUCAGGGUGAAGUGAGCUAACAUGAAAUAUUUAGCACAGUGCCUAGCAAGUAGUACACAUUUAAUGUUUCCUAUUCCUCCUUCUCUCCAAUAUAGGUUCUCCAAGACCUAGGGAGCAGUUGAUUUAUAAAUGUCUCAUACAACAUUAGCUCAUGCAUGCAGAGAGAUGAUUAUGCAGUGAGAACAUACUAAGCUACGAUAUUCUCUAUCUGAGUGCCAAAACGUGGCUGUUCUAGUUAGGGGGAGGGUGCAAGGAAGAGUAAUGACAUAUAUCUCUAAUAGUGCUCUUUCUUUAUUUUCUUGUCUUGGGUUGAAAAAUGCUUUAUUUUUGUUUUUGAUUCCCAAGUUUUAUUCAAGAAGUCAUAAAAUAUUCCAGAUAAGUGAAUUUUAAUCCUCAUCUUCCUCCUCUUCUGCAUCCUGGUUAAUUUGGGAGUAAUGUAAUUCCUGACUCUCUGCUGUUAGCAACUAUGUGCAACUAAUCAAGUAGGUGAUUUCUUCUUCAGAUAUUUUUUGGUGAGAUAUUUAAAAUAUCUUUUGGUAAAAAGCACCUCAGAAGUCACAGUAAUCUUGCUCUUGCUUAUUUUGAUGGUCAUACCCCCUCCACCGAGACUCUCAGCUUUUCUGCUCACUUUGAUCCUUUCCUGUAAAAAUUGCACAAAAUUGGCAGUAUCAUGAUUCCAUCUUCUACAGAGUGGGUGCAAUCAAGAGUGAACUUGAGAACCUGCUUUUUUUUUUUUUUUUAAACCCUCCUUUGCCAUAAGCUUCUUUAUGGGCACUGUGGCGGCAGCAGAGGCAGAAAGGGAGGUGGGUGAACUAUGCAGGCCGGAAAAAUGCUUUUUUUUUUUUAAUAAAAAAAAACAAUUAUAAUGGUGCAUAUCAACAUUUCCCAAAGUGCAUUGUGUGGAACACUAGUCUAGUCAAAUAAGUUUGAAAAAUGUUACUUUCUACUGCCUCCUUUCUCAGCUUUACAAAACACAUUAGUAAAGUGUUUAAAAGUCUCCUAAUCUCAUUCAUAGUAAAGAAAUGUCUUGACUGAGCCUAAGUUAGCAUUUUACAAACGUGUUCGACUCUGGAGUUCCUUUCCUUCCUUUCCUUCCUUUCCUUCUCUUCCUUUUUUUUUUUUUGACAGAGUAUCGCUCUCUUGCCCACGGCUGGAGCACAGUGGUGGGAUCUCGCCUGGUUGCAACCUCUGCCUCCUGGGUUCCAGCGAUUCUCCUGCCUCAGCCUCCCGAGUAGCUGGCUAGGAUUACAGGCGUGAUCCAACAUGCCUGGCUAAUUUUUGUAUUUUUAGUAGAGAUGGGGUUUCAUUGUGUUGACCAGGCUGGUCUCAAGCUCCUGACCUCUGGUGAUCCACCCACCUCAGCCUCCCAAGUAGUUGGGAUCACCUGGCUUCCCCCCCCUCCCCCCCGUAUUUUUAGUAGAGAUGGGGUUUUGCCAUUUUGGCUAGGCUGGUCUCAAACUCCUGGUCUAAAGUGACCCACCUACCCCAGUUUCCCAGAGUGUUGGGAUUACAGGUGUGAGCCACUGUGCCCUGCCUGGAGUACUCUCUUAGGUUAGGGUAGCAUUUAGAUCCCACUGUGGAUGCCAUUUUGGCUACCCCAGGUACCCAUGGUGGUUGUGUCUUAGAGUAGCUCACAAAAUCCUACAGAACCUGCAACAUACCUCAAACUUUCAGUGUACAAAUGAGAAGCAAAGCUUCGUAUCUUGGUAACUGUAAGUAUAAAAGAACUGGCCGGGCGCGGUGGCUCACGCCUGUAAUCCCAGCACUUUGGGAGGCCGAGGCGGGUGGAUCAUGAG